CUGCUCAACGGCCCCUCCAAGGAUUUUGCAGUUCUCCAGAUUGCAGAAGUUGCUACAUCAGUUGCAAAACGCGGUCUGUCGGCCUCAGCCCUGUGUGUGUGUGUUUUCCAGGCAAGGCUGUAGUGCAGCAUUCCUCUGGCCAAGGGAUGGUGCUGUGAGGAAUCCCGAUAGGCUGCCAUCCAAACCCAGACCUAGCGGUUCUCCCUCUGCCUUUAUCCCAUCACUGAGGGUGGUCCUGAUGGAUCCAAGCAGAAACCCAGAUGGCAUCUCGUGAGCUAACAGAUCCUGAGGAAAAACAUUUGUAUUUGAUGUGGGUUUUGAUCACACAGCAACUCAGCUGGGAACCAGAGAAGGCUCAGGGUGCGUGCAAGGAUGAUAUGCCAUCAAAGGAGGAGAAAGGAGGAAACACUGAAGAGGAAGACAAGGAUGUCAUGGAUUCACAUGAACCUCAGGAUGUUACAGCAGCGAGAGAAGAGAUCAACCUGAUGCUGGUAGAACAGCACAGGAUGGUGGCUCUGAAGUGGCAGUUACAGAUCAUCUAAAAUGACACUCUGUAGGAAGCAUUGUCUCUGGACACCCAUCUCAGCCCAACUUUCUGUGGCUUGCCAGAAAGCUCAGUUCAGCAGAUCUUGAAAGAUAAGCCCUGGACCCUCAAGCCCCAGUACAGACAAAGUCUGUGAGAGCCAUCUGUGCAAACCCUCUUCCAUCCAUUCCAAAGCUGCAAGUAGCAGAUCCAUUGCCACAAAGGUCAGGGUUCUUGUCAGCCACCAUUCAGGUAGGGGCCAAAGAGAUUUCUCUGUGCCUGACAUCACAUCUGACAGAUGGGGACAUCCUGCAUCAGCUCUGCUGGAGAAGAUGGAUUGUCAUAGGAGAAAUAAGUCAGGGUAAACACUAGUGAUCAGAACUAUCAGUAACACAAUCAAUUUUUUUAUAUGGCCUAAGUAGCUUUUGAUGUGUAAGAAAGCACAUCCUUUAUAGAGAACUGCCUCAGCUAUGCCUCUGUAUCCUACAGGGAAGCAUUAAUGUUCAACUGGGUUCAUGUGCAGCAAGUUGUUGAUCUCAGUUUAGUCUUUGUUUCAUAUCCAACCUAAGCCUCAGCAAGGACACAGUGAUAGACUGCACUGACCAUCUGCCAGCUUCAGUUGUUUUGCUUUGUGCAGACACACAAGACCAGGAGGAGUUAUGGGGAGCCGGACAGGAAAAUCCUAUUGAAAUGUUGCCAGAAUCUUUCACUGUUCUGGCAAGGGGUGUUUACUGAUGCUCAUAAGUUUUUGUUAGUUUUUUUUUACUAAAAAAUACUUAACGUUUAUUUUACAAUGCUCUAAUUUAUUUUGGCUAGCUAUUAGCAACUCACACAUUGCAAAAUGCUUUUAAACUGUGCUGUGUUCCCACUGUUUAUAACAAAACUCUCCCUGCUUCCAAUAGAGGGGACUCCACUCAAGGUACUGCCAAAAGGCAAGGCUCCUUCACGCACCACCCAGCACAGCAAUGCUGGUCACGUCAAAGGAUGGGACCUACAGAAACAAGUGAGUGCAUGAAAUAUCAGAUUGGCUGGCAAAGGAGGAACUGUAAGACUCUUCAGCACUUGCUCUGGUGCAAUCCGAACUAAAAGAGCUGUAAAUGCAACACAAAUGGUCCAGUUGUGAAAGCAGUCACAUGGGUAGAGGUUUUAUAGCCAAGUUUUAAGCCUUUUCUCUUUGCAACAGAUGACACGGGCAAUGCUCCAGAAGGAGUUACACUCCAUCUCCCUCUUAGCCAAAAAUAACCUUUUAGGAAGAGAAAAUAAUGUCUUCAAAGGUGUUCAUAACCCCAGUCUAAUCCAUAUGUGAAACACAGACUUUAAUCUGAGUUUGCCACAUGUCAACAUACUGCUUCCACUGAAGGUGUCACCUUGGGAUCUUCCUGAGGCAGCAAUGCGUAGAUCCUUGGCUUUUGCCAAACUCGCCCCUCCACAGCCUGUAGCAAUCUGUUUCUUCUGCAUUUUGACUGGCAAAGAAACUCAAAUCAAGGUGCGAGAAACUUCAUUGAGUUCUUCCUCUUCCCUCUCUUGCAGGGCCUGCAGAUGGUGCCAGCAGUCGGCAAAAGCCAGAGGCAGUCGCCUGUCUGGGGAGCCAGCCGGGACUAAACAGAAGUCACCCAUGAACAGGACACUCUUUGGCCCCAAAGGAUUUCCAAUUUCAAGGUUGCUGGAAGCUGAGGAAGCAGAUUCAGAAGCGUGCCUUAAAAUGUAUUUAAGCUUCUGUGUCACAUUGCUGAAGACAUGCUGCUACGGGCAGGGAGGAGAGGAAGCUUAUACACUGUAUAUUUCCUGUUCUAUAUCCCUACUUCAAGUCUUUGCUCUGUACUGUAUGCUCUAGCUGUUAGCUUCAGUCUAAAACAAAUAGCCUGUUAACAGAGUCCAGGAGAAGAGGAAAACCUCAUUUUCCCAGCAGUGUCGUCUCCCAGAAGAUGUCAGCAUGGAGCCUAAGCUGCCUUUUUUUCCCAGGGCAAAAGUGUGGAUGCCACCCAAGCAUCCAAAAGUCUCCCUGACUAUUAAAACCAAAUGUAAAUGCCUGAGAAAUAGUUUCCCUGUUCUUUCCCUGUGUGUUGCUGUGAAGCUGGGAGGUGUACUGCACGUCUGGAAUGCUGUUUGGGUGAGCAGAUGUUUGGCUGUGAGAGCAGCCAGAGAUUGCUCUAAGCUCUCUUCUAUCUACAGGGCAUUUCAGAUCUCACUGCAGACAGAGAGGCAGCAGUGGUGAUAGGUGAAGACCAUGAUAAGAAUUACUAGCCUGGAGGUAAACUGGGAAUGUGCUUUUCUUUUUGGAAAGAAACAUCUUCAGCUGUCAGCCUUCUCCAAUAAGGGGCUUUUGAAAUAUGUUGCAAAUAAAAUGGUUCUAUUAAUUGCAUGGAAUAGUGACUCCUUGCCCCAAACAGAAGUUGCUUCCCCCCUCUAAGAUGACAGACUCAGGUAGGUUUGGGCAUUUUUUUUCAAAUGGACAAAGAAGCUUUUUUUCAACUGCAGCACUUGCAAAGAAUUCUCCUGUAUGCUGUUUCUCACUGGGUGACACUGUACACACUCCUAUUUCUCUAUGCCUCUUGCUUUGCUGUUGGGAAGAUGAGGGAUAGUUUACUCCAGGGAUGAGGAACCUUAAUUACUUUUCUUUAUAAAUAACAUAAGCCCCUGAAGUGGGGAUGCAAUCAAUGCAAGUGAGUGGGUGUAGCAAGCAGCUGAUUUUCCUUAUGAAACAGAAAGCAGUAGGAAAAAGUGUGACAGGGAAGUGGAAGGUCAGGAACGCUUGUCCCCAGAGCUGACUCUUUUAGAUAAACAAAGAUAUAAAAAGAGGACAUACAGAUGAAAUAAGCACAGAGUGUGUAUAAGACAAACCUGUGCCAGCAGGUCCUGAGCCAGGACUGUAUUUACAAGACCUCACGUGACCUGCAAACACUGUGGGACCAAAAAUGAAGCUUUCCAAGCAUAUACAUCUUUGCUAAAUACCUUUGGGCUGGAUCACCAAUGAAAAAGUUGCAGUGUUUGGUGCCAUUUCAAGUGAGCUGAAUUGAGCUGAGUCUCUGGAGGCUGCAUCACCAGAGGGAAAGUUUGUGUGACAGAGUUUGAUAAUUUUCCAUGACUGUUGUGAAGAGUACAGAGUCAUGUGAUGUGCAAACUUCCCUGUUUAUAAAAUCUGUAUUUUAAAGUCUGAUAAUUUAUGUAAAAGCUGGGGCUUGAAAUCCUGGAGGGUGGGAUCUGUAAAUUAUCACUUGUAGGUUUGAUUAUUGCUGGAUGUGAGGCUGCAGCCCAUGUCUUGUGCAAAGUGGAACUUUUCGGUGCUGGGCUAAUGUUUCUUUGAUUCGAUUCUUACCAGUCACAAACAACUAGAGAACCAAAAGGAGUUUAAACUGUCCUGGGAUUUUUCAGCAGCACUUUCUAGCCUUUCUGUGUCCAGUUACUUAACUUUGCUCCUUAUAAUCACUGCUGGCCAUCCAAACCUCACGGACAUUAAAUACCCAUGCAGUAUUACGAUGUGGUAAUCUGUAAUUAAUUUAAAAGUGAGCUUUCCGUUAAAUUUUUCCAGAAUCACAGAAUUCUCAGGAUUUGGAGUGACCUCUGAAGAUCACCAUGUCAGACUCCCUGCCACGGAGGGGUCACCUAAAGCAGGUGAGCCAGGAACGCGUCCAGGUGGCUUUGGGAUAUCUCCAGAGAGGGAGACUCCGCACCCUCCCUGGCCACCCUGCUCCAGUUUUCUGCCCCUCUCCAUGGGCAGCAGUUCUUAGACACGCUGAGGUGCAUCUUGUGUUUUAGUUUAUGGCGGUUUCUCCUUAUGCUGGGAGAUGCUGUCAGGACUCCGGGGCGCUGUCAGGAGCCGCCCCCGCUGCGCUCCCUCA